rnacentral:snoRNA from 1 species
CGCGAGGCUAGAGUCACGCCUGGACACUUCCCGUUGUCCUGGUGUGCUAGAGUGCUCGCAGAGGAAAAACGUCUCUGCUUAUUCAUUGGCUGUAGUCUGACGUGGCCCGGUCAAUCACCAACAGAGAUACAUUA